rnacentral:rRNA from 1 species
GACGAACCGUGCGAACGUUGUUCGGAAUCACUGGGCUUAAAGGGCGCGUAGGCGGGUUGCCAAGUCUGGGGUGAAAUCCCACGGCUCAACCGUGGAACUGCCUCGGAUACUGGCGGCCUCGAGGGAGGUAGGGGCGUGCGGAACUGUGGGUGGAGCGGUGAAAUGCGUUGAUAUCCACAGGAACUCCGGUGGCGAAGGCGGCACGCUGGACCUUUUCUGACGCUGAGGCGCGAAAGCCAGGGGAGCAAACGGG